rnacentral:ncRNA from 2 species
CGACAUUCCGAGGGGUGCACCGCACAGGUGCUGAGAUGGCCGGACGGCCGAACCCUUGAACCUGAUCCGGGUCAUACCGGCGUAGGAACGGGAAUGGGCGUCCUC